AUUGAACGCUGGCGGCAGGCCUAACACAUGCAAGUCGAACGAGUGGAGGCAGGGUGAGUAAUGUCUGGGAAACUGCCCGAUGGAGGGGGAUAACUACUGGAAACGGUAGCUAAUAACGCAUACAAUCUGUUGUGCCCAGAUGGGAUUAGCUUGUAGGUGAGGUAACUGCCCACCUAGGCGCCGAUCCCUAGCUGGUCUGAAAGGAUGACCAGCCACACUGUAACGGAGACACGGUCCAGACUCCUACGGUGGUCAGCAGUGGGGAAUAUGGCACAAUGGGCGCAAGCCUGAUGCAGCCAUGCCGCGUGUAUGAAGAAGGCCUUCGGGGUGUAAAGUACUUUCAGCGGGGAGGCGUUACCCGCAGAAGAAGCACCGGCUAACUCCGUGCCAGCCGCCGCGGUAAUUC
rnacentral:rRNA from 1 species